rnacentral:rRNA from 1 species
AACGAACGCUGGCGGCAGGCUUAACACAUGCAAGUCGAACGCGUGUAGCAAUACACGAGUGGCGCACGGGUGAGUAACGCGUGGAUAUCUGCCUUUUGGUUCGGAAUAACCCCGGGAACGUGGGCGUAAUACCGGAUGGUUCCGUUCGGGAGUAAAGAUUUAUCGCCAAAAGAUGAGUCCGCGUACGAUUAGCUAGUUGGUGAGGUAAUGGCUCACCAAGGCGACGAUCGUUAGCUGGUCNGAGAGGACGAUCA